rnacentral:lncRNA from 1 species
AGCGUGGGCCGCUGCCUUGGAAACGCAGAGCGCGCGCUCCAGGUAAAGGCUGCUGCGCCCAGGACAGGGUUCUCACGGUGGAGGAAAGGACUUCUGCGGGAUACCACGCUGUGCGCCAAAAAGCCGGGCGGCUUCGGAGCCAGAGCAGCGGCUCUGCGGCGCAGGCGGCGGGUCGGGGUAGCCUUGAAGCCGGGAUCCGGCCCGAAGGGUGAGCACCAGCUCGUCUCCGGUGGGCGCCGCCUUCAAUGUCAAGUUCCAGGGCAGUCGCUUGGACCCGUUUGGCGAGCGCGGAGUGAGCGGCGCAGGAGGAGCUCCCCUAGGUCCCGGAGGGUCUUUUUGGAGUUCCUGAGCUCAGUGCCCCAGAAGGCACAUACUUCAUAUGAAAUAUGAAGGAUUUCAUACUGCACAAGAAAAAGCCUUGAGAAAGACAGAAUUGCUUGUGGACCGUGCGUGUUCCACCCCACCUGGGUCCCAGACUGUGCUGAUCCUUGAUGAGCUCUCGGAUUCCUUGUGCAGAGUGGCCAACUUGUUUCGAAAUGACCAGGCUGGCAGUUGGCUGAGCC